GAGGCUGUGGGCAAUGAAGGACGCAGAGGCCCAGAGAGUGUUCAGGCAGAUGGUGAGUGCCGCGGGCCACCCGAAGGGCAUCGGGCACAGAGACCUGAAGGUGGGGAAUGUCGUCCUCGGCGCCGGGGGACACUGUCAAGCUCUGUGACUUGAACCUGAGGCCACAGGUUCAAGGCUGGGACAGAAGUUCCACAGGAUUUGGGGGCAAACCCCCAUCCUAGGGGGUCCCCAAGCCGCUGAGAAAGCAGGUCCUGCAUGCAAGGUACGACGUCCCCUGCCACCGGUCCCCAGAGGGGCAGGAGCCUCAUCCUGCAGAUGCUGACCAUGGACCCCACGCAGAGGGGUCAUGGGGCACCCGUGGCUGAGCCCGGGGGAGGACCAGGAGCCACCACGUCCAUGCACAGAACCUCCCCUGGACCCCCCUCAGUCAUGAAGGUCAUGCAGACCUGAGUGACACCCGGAUGUCCCUAAAAGCCACAAAGUCCGACGCAGCAAUGGCCACGUACCUCAUGCUUCAGUACCAGAAAACUCGGGGGCCAGCUGCUUGGUCCCACUAAAGCCCGUGAGGCAGGAGGUUGGGCCUCCACCCUGCCCCUCGGUCCCUUCCAGUGUCCCCAUGCACCCCCAGGGGUCUGUCAGCGUGCCAGCCCUUGGCUCCACCAUCAUCCUGCUCAUGGGGGACAAGCCACUCAGAAAGAAGGGCCACAGAGCCAGCGAGCCGGUCCUUCCCGAGUCUAGCCUGCAGUCGGGCACCCCCAUGGCCAGCCUGGCUGCCCGGCUCCCCGGCGGCUCCUGGUCGAGCAGCGACAUGUUGGGAGGUGACCAGCAGGAAGCCCUCCCAGGGGUCCCCAGAAGAGAGCUUGGUCUCGGUCCAGCCACCCUGGGGUGACACGCUGGGCCCUGCGUGGGGUGACACGCUGGGCUGUGGGGGACUGUCCAGGAGGAUGGCUGCCUGCAUGGCCCGCGUGUGCUGCUGAGUGGCGGUCCCCAAGGCGGGCCCCAGGCUGCAAAACCAAGUGGCGCCAAGGCACAAGAGACCCGGCUGGUAGAAGGUUCCAGAACAAAGUGGCUCUGAUGGACUCCGACAGCCGAGACCCCGCGAGGCCAGGUGACACAGGAUCUUCACGGGUCUGGAGGGAGGUGCAGCAGCCUCCUGCCCCCACCUGGAGGAGACACCAGGGACCUUGGGUCCCCUGUCCCCGCCCUGCUGUGCCCCCACGCUGCAGGGUCCCUCACCCAUUUCUGUUUCCCAAAUCUCUUAUAAAUGGAUGCUCCCAAGUG